rnacentral:sRNA from 1 species
GAUGGAUGGAUGGAUGGAUGGAUGGAUGGAUGGAUGGAUGGAUGGAUAAAUGGAUGGAGAGAUGGGGGCGCGCUGGGAAUUUUGCGGGGGGCGAGUUGCUUUUCCCACCCACUCCUCCCGCCCUCCUCGAUCGAGAAGGCUAGGUUGGCGACGCCACGGUAGAGGCUUCGGUUCUCCCGGGUGGGGGCAGCCGCCGACCGGAGGGAGAGAAUGUAAUGGACAUCGGUCUGACCAACGAGAAGCCCAACCCGGAACUCUCUUACUCCGGCUCCUUCCAGCCAGCCCCCGGCAACAAGACCGUGACCUACUUGGGAAAGUUCGCCUUCGACUCCCCUUCCAACUGGUGCCAGGACAACAUCAUUAGCCUCAUGAGCGCCGGCAUCUUGGGGGUGCCCCCGGCUUCAGGGGCGCUCAGCACGCAGACGUCCACGGCCAGCAUGGUGCAGCCACCGCAGGGUGACGUGGAGGCCAUGUAUCCGGCGCUACCCCCCUACUCCAACUGCGGCGACCUCUACUCAGAGCCCGUGUCUUUCCACGACCCCCAGGGCAAUCCCGGGCUCGCCUAUUCCCCCCAGGAUUACCAAUCGGCCAAGCCGGCGUUGGACAGCAAUCUCUUCCCCAUGAUUCCUGACUACAACCUCUACCACCACCCCAGCGACAUGGGCUCCAUUCCGGAGCACAAGCCUUUCCAGGGCAUGGACCCCAUCCGGGUCAACCCGCCCCCUAUUACCCCUCUGGAGACCAUCAAGGCAUUCAAAGACAAGCAGAUCCACCCGGGCUUUGGCAGCCUGCCCCAGCCGCCGCUCACCCUCAAGCCCAUCCGGCCCCGCAAGUACCCCAACCGGCCUAGCAAGACACCGCUCCACGAACGGCCCCACGCGUGCCCGGCCGAGGGCUGCGACCGCCGUUUCAGCCGUUCGGACGAGCUGACCCGGCACCUGCGCAUCCACACGGGCCACAAGCCCUUCCAGUGCCGGAUCUGCAUGCGGAGCUUCAGCCGCAGCGACCACCUCACCACUCACAUCCGCACUCAUACGGGCGAGAAGCCCUUUGCCUGCGAGUUCUGCGGGCGCAAGUUUGCGCGCAGCGACGAGCGCAAGCGCCACGCCAAGAUCCACCUCAAGCAAAAGGAGAAGAAGGCGGAGAAGGGCGGUGCACCCUCUGCAUCCUCGGCGCCCCCAGUGUCGCUGGCCCCCGUGGUCACCACCUGCGCCUGAG